rnacentral:ncRNA from 1 species
UACCUGGUUGAUUCUGCCAGUAGUCAUAUGCUUGUCUCAAAGAUUAAGCCAUGCAUGUCUAAGUAUAAGCAAUUUAUACCGUGAAACUGCGAAUGGCUCAUUAAAUCAGUUAUCGUUUAUUUGAUAGUACCUUACUACUUGGAUAACCGUGGUAAUUCUAGAGCUAAUACAUGCUAAAAGCCCCGACUUCGGAAGGAGUGUAUUUAUUAGAUAAAAAACCAAUGCCCUCCGGGGCUCCUUGGUGAUUCAUAAUAACUUAACGAAUCGCAUGGCCUUGUGCCGGCGAUGGUUCAUUCAAAUUUCUGCCCUAUCAACUUUCGAUGGUAGUAUAUGGGACUACCAUGGUUUCAACGGGUAACGGGGAAUUAGGGUUCUAUUCCGGAGAGGGAGCCUGAGAAACGGCUACCACAUCCAAGGAAGGCAGCAGGCGCGCAAAUUACCCAAUCCCGACACGGGGAGGUAGUGACAAUAAAUACUGAUACAGGGCUCUUUUGGGUCUUGUAAUUGGAAUGAGUACAAUUUAAAUCCCUUAACGAGGAACAAUUGGAGGGCAAGUCUGGUGCCAGCAGCCGCGGUAAUUCCAGCUCCAAUAGCGUAUAUUAAAGUUGUUG